rnacentral:tRNA from 1 species
UGGGGAGUGGCCAAGCGGUAAGGCGCCUGACUCUGGAUCAGGAGAUCGAAGGUUCGACUCCUUCCGCCCCAGCCA